GGAAGCCGAAGGCUGCUGCCCGGUGGUCGGCUGAGCGGCUCUAGCCCAGAUCUCAGACGGCUGAGUCACUGCAUCCCGGCGCGGCCCGCAGAAGACGAGCGCCGCCGCCGCCUCCUCCUCCUGGGCUCCCGGGCUCUCGGGGUCCGGGGCCUUUGCACCUGUCUUUUCCAGCUGGGCACAAAGCCUUUUGCUGUCGCCGUGGCGACUGGAGGCCUUCACUUUUAAUCCCCCUCAUUUUCCAGUUCAUUCUCUGCUUAUUUUCUGGUCAGUCCGUGACCCUGUAGGCGGCCUCGGACCGGCGAUCGAUUUGCCGCCCUCAGGGCGCUGGGCGGCCGGCUGCCUCCGAAGCUGGGGCGGCCUCCGCGGUCUCCAUGGUAACGGCCUCUCCGGCGUCUCCGCCUAGAGGGGAAGAUGCGGCCUGCCUGGCCCGCCGCCUCGCCCCCGGCCUCACGGUGGGACCCCGGGCACUGAGGACGAAGGUCCCGGGCGCCGGCCCGCGGGGCAACGGGCACUAGUGAAAUCCCAUUUUCUGGCUGGAGACACAGAUGGCCUCAAAUGAGAGAGAUGCUAUAUCGUGGUACCAAAAGAAGAUUGGAGCCUACGAUCAGCAGAUAUGGGAAAAGUCAAUCGAACAGACUCAGAUUAAGAAGACCGGAUUGAAGCUUGCUCUCUGGAGAGGCUGAGCCAGAGAAGUUCUGGAUUCUGGAAGACCAGAAACAAAUCAGAGUCUGGUGAGAUGCUGCACUAAUAAUGGGGAUUAAGUGAAAGUCUGGUCGUCAGAUUUAUAAUCUGCAAACAGAAGACUGGAAUUUCUUUUCGUCAAAACUGAGUAACCAAAGAGAACCUAAGGAUACUGAAAAGUGAAAUGACUGGCCACGCCUCUAUAGUGAGGUCCACUAUUCAAAAUGCUUCACGCAUUGCACACUGAGCUUGCAUUCAGUGUGUUAGUGACUGUUAAUUAUAAAUGGAUAAUUAAAGAUCAUCAAAUAUUUAAGACCUAAAGAAAAAGAAGAAAAAAGAAGCAAUGCAGGAAUCAUAAAAACAGUGUUUUUAAAGAUAUAAUUACUACCUUUAAAGAACUGGAUACUAUAAAAAGACUGAGAUAUCUUCAGGACAUCUAUUGUAUAACAUUGGUGACUAUAGUUAGUAUGUUGUAUUCUUGAAAAAUGUUAAGAGAGUGGAUAUUAAGUGUUCUCACCACACAAAUAAUAACCAUGUGAGGGUUUGAAAAACAAACCGAAAAAGAUGGGCCACAUAAAGCCAGACUUGAUUGAUGUUGACUUAAUCAGAGGGUCAACAUUUGCCAAAGCAAAACCUGAAAUUCCAUGGACAUCUCUGACUCGGAAGGGGCUUGUUCGAGUUGUAUUUUUUCCAUUGUUCAGCAAUUGGUGGAUUCAGGUUACCUCUUUAAGAAUCUUUGUUUGGCUGUUACUACUUUAUUUCAUGCAAGUUAUAGCAAUUGUCUUAUAUUUGAUGAUGCCUAUUGUGAACAUAAGUGAAGUACUUGGACCCUUGUGCCUUAUGCUACUCAUGGGAACUGUCCACUGUCAAAUUGUGUCUACUCAGAUAACAAGACCAUCAGGAAACAAUGGAAAUCGAAGAAGAAGAAAAUUACGAAAAACUGUAAAUGGUGAUGGGAGCCGAGAAAAUGGAAAUAACUCCUCUGAUAAAGUCAGAGGAAUAGAAACUUUGGAAUCUGUACCCAUUAUUGGUGGUUUUUGGGAGACUAUCUUUGGCAACAGGAUUAAAAGAGUAAAAUUAAUAUCUAACAAAGGGACUGAAACUGACAAUGACCCAAGUUGUGUCCAUCCUAUCAUUAAGAGGAGACAAUGUCGACCAGAGAUUAGAAUGUGGCAAACAAGAGAGAAAGCAAAAUUUUCAGAUGGAGAAAAGUGCCGUAGGGAGGCUUUUAGGCGUUUGGGUAAUGGGGUGUCUGAUGACCUGUCAAGUGAAGAAGAUGGUGAAGCACGGACACAGAUGAUAUUAUUGCGUAGGAGUGUGGAAGGGGCCUCAAGUGACAAUGGUUGUGAAGUUAAGAAUAGAAAAUCAAUACUUUCAAGGCACCUAAACUCUCAGGUAAAGAAAACCACUGCAAGGUGGUGUCAUAUUGUGCGGGAUUCAGAUAGUCUGGCUGAAUCAGAAUUUGAAUCAGCAGCCUUCAGCCAGGGCUCUAGAUCGGGUGUGAGUGGUGGCUCUCGAAGCCUCAACAUGUCAAGAAGAGACUCAGAAAGCACCCGCCAUGACUCGGAGACUGAGGAUAUGUUAUGGGACGACCUGCUACAUGGCCCAGAGUGCCGGUCAUCUGUCACCAGUGACAGUGAGGGGGCCCAUGUGAAUACCCUUCACUCAGGGACCAAACGUGACCCCAAAGAGGAUGUUUUUCAGCAGAAUCAUUUAUUCUGGCUUCAGAAUUCAAGUCCUUCCUCUGAUCGAGUUAGUGCAAUAAUCUGGGAGGGGAAUGAGUGCAAAAAGAUGGAUAUGUCUGUGUUGGAAAUAAGUGGCAUCAUCAUGAGCAGGGUCAAUGCCUAUCAGCAAGGAGUAGGUUAUCAGAUGCUGGGAAAUGUUGUCACUAUUGGAUUAGCAUUUUUUCCAUUCUUACAUCGACUUUUCCGUGAGAAGAGCCUUGACCAACUAAAGUCCAUUUCAGCUGAGGAGAUCUUGACUCUCUUUUGUGGGGCACCACCUGUUACACCUAUUAUUGUUUUGUCCAUAAUUAAUUUUUUUGAAAGAUUGUGUCUUACUUGGAUGUUUUUUUUCAUGAUGUGUGUGGCAGAGAGAACAUAUAAACAGAGAUUUUUAUUUGCAAAACUCUUCAGCCAUAUUACUUCUGCCAGGAAAGCUAGGAAAUAUGAAAUACCUCAUUUCAGACUUAAGAAGGUGGAGAAUAUUAAAAUAUGGUUAUCACUGCGUUCCUAUCUAAAGAGACGGGGGCCACAGCGUUCAGUUGAUGUGGUUGUAUCCUCGGUUUUCCUACUGACACUUUCGAUUGCUUUCAUUUGUUGUGCUCAGGUUCUCCAAGGACAUAAAACUUUCCUGAAUGAUGCUUAUAACUGGGAGUUUUUGAUCUGGGAAACAGCUUUACUACUUUUUUUAUUGCGUCUGGCCUCACUGGGGUCUGAAACCAAUAAGAAAUACAGCAAUGUUUCAAUAUUACUUACAGAACAGAAUCAUAAUGGAGAAUUCUUCCUACAAGGCAAAAUAUAAGGAAUUAGUAAAGUAAAAGGAGCUAUCUUCUUCCGUUCCAUAAAUGUUUAACGAGGAUGUUAGAUUAUCUAGGGGGAUAGUGAGAUGAAUAAGAUAGAGGUUUUGAACUCAAGGUGCUUACGUGCUAAUUAUGUUAUGUUGCAAGUAAUAUUAAAAUUUUUCAUUGUUUUGAUAUUUAAAUUGCUUCAUCAUUAAUUUUUCAUCACUAAAUAGUUUUUCUUUGCCAGAGGGAGACUGAUCAGGAAUGGGGGCUAGAGCACAUGACAUAUGUUCUCUGUAGCAAUAGCUAUUGGAAUUUCAAAAUUUAUUUUACUUGAAAACAUGACCUUUGAAAUAUGCCAGAUUUUAUGCAGUAUAUAUAUUUUUUCCAAGAAAUUUACCUUAAUUUCUAUUCCUUCCCUUAGAUUAAUUUAUAUCUUAAGAUGGAAAAAAAGCCAAAUAAGAAAGAACAGCUUACUCUAGUAAACAAUGUAUUAAAGCUGUCCACCAAGUUGUUGAAAGUAAGUCAUAGGCUAUGAUACACUUUUACUAUCGUUUGAGUUAAAUCAGUCUUUUCUCUAAGAAAACAUUAAAUGGCAGAUGAUACCUUGGGUUGGGAGGGGUCCUGGAAGUGGACUCUUCCACAGUGGCAUCAGGGGUAGGGGUCACAGUGGUGGUUAGGACCAGAGCUGAGGUCACAGAGCUCCUGGAGGCAAGGUUAAGGACAAAGAGUGGCUCCCCAUCACCAAGUUGGGCCAUCUGGUCAAGGACAUGAAGAUCAAGUCCCUGGAGGAGAUCUGCCUCUUCUCUGUGCAUCAAGGACCAGGUUCAAGGCAUUUGUCACCAUUGAGGACUACAACGGCUAUGUUGGUCUGGGUGUUAGUGCUCCAAGGAGGUAGCCAGCACCAUCCAUGGGGCUAUAAUCAUGGUCAAGCUCUUUAUCCUCCCUGUGUGAGGAGACUACUGGGGGAACAAGAUUAGCAAGCCUCACACUCACACUACCUACCCUUGCAAGGUGACUGGCAGCCUGCAUCUCUGUGCUGGUGGCCUCAUCCCUGCCUCCAGAGGCAUUGCUACUGUCUUGGCCCCUGUGCCCAGGAACCUGCUGCUGAUGGUGGUUACCCACCACUGCUGCACUUUGACUGGGGACUGCGCUGCUACCCUGGCCAAUUUUGCCAAGGGCACCUUUGAUGCCAUCUCCAAGACCUACAGCUAUUUCACCCCCAACCUCUGGAGCUGGACACACCAUUUAGACUCUAUGGACUGACAAUGAAUCCCUUAAUCUACAAUAUCACAAGAGUAGUUAUCCUUUCUGCUGUCUCAGGUGUUAUAAGUGAUCUUCUAGGAUUUAAUAUAAGACUGUGGAAAAUUAAAUCAUAAGCUGAGUUAAAUGCCUGGAGUCUCCCCUGGCUGGUGUCAAAACUUACCUAUCAAGGAAAGUGAUGACUGCAGAAACCAGUGAGAUACCCACCUGCUUGUUCACAUGCACAGGUGCUCUCAGCUCUGCCAAAGCGAAUGAAUGGUGUUUCCGGAGGAGCAAGUCCUUUUCCAACUGGGUGUGCAUGCUAAAAACCUGUAUUUUCAUGCUUUUCAAACAACAUGAAUAGUCAGCUGACUAAAGACUGUGUGUGUUGUGGUAACACAAGGACAAUUUUGUAAGUUUGCGCUUCAGUACUGUGACAGUUAUGUUUACUGGACAUAGUCUUUUGGGCAACUAUGAUAGAUGCCCAAAGCAUGAAGCAAAUAUCUUUUAUUGGAAAUAUGCAAAUUCAAUACUUUUCCAUUAUAGUCUAUAGAACUGGAGAUUUCAUUUCUCUAUCAAAGAGAGAUCAAGCGAACUAUUUUAGGUUAAAUCCGAAUAAAAGAACUUUACUGGAGA